UGAGGAAUAUUGGUCAAUGGGCGCGAGCCUGAACCAGCCAAGUAGCGUGAAGGAUGAAGGUCCUAUGGAUUGUAAACUUCUUUUAUAGCAGAAUAAAGUGACCCACGUGUGGGUUUUUGUAUGUAUGCUAUGAAUACGGAUCGGCUAACUCCGUGCCAGCAGCCGCGGUAAUACGGAGGAUCCGAGCGUUAUCCGGAUUUAUUGGGUUUAAAGGGUGCGUAGGCGGAAAGAUAAGUCAGCCUGUGAAAGUUUGCGGCUCAACCGUAAAAUUGCAGUUGAUACUGUUUUUCUUGAGUGUACAUAAGGUAGGCGGAAUUCGUGGUGUAGCGGUGAAAUGCUUAGAUAUCACGAAGAACUCCGAUUGCGAAGGCAGCUUACCGGGGUACAACUGACGCUGAUGCACGAAAGUGUGGGUAUCAAACA
rnacentral:rRNA from 1 species